rnacentral:rRNA from 1 species
UUGGAGGGCAAGUCUGGUGCCCGCAGCCGCGGUAAUUCCAGCUCCAAUAGCGUAUAUUAAAGUUGUUGAGGUUAAAAAGCUCGUAGUUGAACCUUGGGCCUAGCCGGCCGGUCCGCCUCACCGCGUGCACUGGCUCGGCUGGGUCUUUCCUUCUGGAGAACCGCAUGCCCUUCACUGGGUGUGCCGGGGAACCAGGACUUUUACUCUGAACAAAUUAGAUCGCUUAAAGAAGGCCUAUGCUCGAAUACAUUAGCAUGGAAUAAUAGAAUAGGACG